AUCAGCAGGGAAGAAUAGAUGACGGUACCUGAGUAAGAAGCCCCGGCUAACUACGUGCCAGCAGCCGCGGUAAUACGUAGGGGGCAAGCGUUAUCCGGAUUUACUGGGUGUAAAGGGAGCGUAGACGGCGAUGCAAGCCAGAUGUGAAAGCCCGCGGCUCAACUGCGGUAGUGCAUUUGGAACUGUAUGGCUGGAGUGCAGGAGAGGCAGGCGGAAUUCCUAGUGUAGCGGUGAAAUGCGUAGAUAUUAGGAGGAACACCAGUGGCGAAGGCGGCCUGCUGGACUGUAACUGACGUUGAGGCUCGAAAGCGUGGGGAGCAAACAGGAUUAGAUACCCUGGUAGUCCACGCUGUA
rnacentral:rRNA from 1 species